GAUAUAAUGCCCUUUUUACCUGUUUUGAAAUUGGACUAUAUGCUGAAUUUGAAAACUACGCAAAUUUUUAAGCUUUGGGUAGACUGUGUCGCAUUCCCAUAAGACAGCCAUGAACAAACAGUGUACCUAAGAUUAUGAUUGCGAAGAAGCAACCCAGAGUGAAGUUGUCAAAUGAUGGUUGAUGUUGGUCAAUCAGAUCUGCGAGAGAAAAAAAGAUCUUCAAGGGAAGAAAAUGUUUAAGAGAAAAAAAAUCAAGUUUCCAGAUUGUACCACAACCAUUGUUUACAAAAGGAGCAACAAACUUCC
rnacentral:lncRNA from 1 species